rnacentral:rRNA from 1 species
CCUACGGGAGGCAGCAGUGGGGGAUAUUGCACAAUGGGGGGAACCCUGAUGCAGCGACGCCGCGUGGGUGAAGGAGUGCUUCGGCAUGUAAAGCCCUAUCGGCAGGGAAGAAGCAAGACGGUACCUGACUAAGAAGCCCCGGCUAACUACGUGCCAGCAGCCGCGGUAAUACGUAGGGGGCGAGCGUUAUCCGGAUUCACUGGGUGUAAAGGGAGCGUAGACGGCCAUGCAAGCCAGGGGUGAAAGCCCGGGGCCCAACCCCGGGACUGCCCUUGGAACUGUGCGGCUAGAGUGCGGGAGGGGCAGGCGGAAUUCCUGGUGUAGCGAUGAAAUGCGUAGAUAUCAGGAGGAACACCGGCGGCGAAGGCGGCCUGCUGGACUGCGACUGACGUUGAGGCUCGAAAGCGUGGGGAGCGAACAGGAUUAGAUACCCCGGUAGUC